rnacentral:rRNA from 2 species
UCAUUAAAUCAGUUAUCGUUUAUUUGAUAGUACCUUACUACUUGGAUAACCGUGGUAAUUCUAGAGCUAAUACAUGCUAAAAACCCCGACUUCGGAAGGGGUGUAUUUAUUAGAUAAAAAACCAAUGCCCUUCGGGGCUCCUUGGUGAUUCAUAAUAACUUAACGAAUCGCAUAGCCUUGUGCUGGCGAUGGUUCAUUCAAAUUUCUGCCCUAUCAACUUUCGAUUGUAUGGUAUUGGCUUACAAUGGUUUCAACGGGUAACGGGGAAUUAGGGUUCUAUUCCGGAGAGGGAGCCUGAGAAACGGCUACCACAUCCAAGGAAGGCAGCAGGCGCGCAAAUUACCCAAUCCCGACACGGGGAGGUAGUGACAAUAAAUACUGAUACAGGGCUCUUUUGGGUCUUGUAAUUGGAAUGAGUACAAUUUAAAUCCCUUAACGAGGAACAAUUGGAGGGCAAGUCUGGUGCCAGCAGCCGCGGUAAUUCCAGCUCCAAUAGCGUAUAUUAAAGUUGUUGCAGUUAAAAAGCUCGUAGUUGAACCUUGGGUUUGGUUGGUCGGUCCGCCUCACCGCGUGCACUGAUCCGACCGAAUCUUUCCUUCUGGGGAACCGUAUGCCCUUCACUGGGUGUGCUGGGGAACCAGGACUUUUACUUUGAAAAAAUUAGAGUGUUCAAAGCAGGCCUAUGCUCGAAUACAUUAGCAUGGAAUAAUAGAAUAGGACGUGUGGUUCUAUUUUGUUGGUUUCUAGGACCGCCGUAAUGAUUAAUAGGGAUAGUCGGGGGCAUCAGUAUUCAAUUGUCAGAGGUGAAAUUCUUGGAUUUAUUGAAGACUAACUACUGCGAAAGCAUUUGCCAAGGAUGUUUUCAUUAAUCAGUGAACGAAAGUUAGGGGAUCGAAGACGAUCAGAUACCGUCGUAGUCUUAACCAUAAACUAUGCCGACUAGGGAUCGGGCGGUGUUAUCUUUUUGACCCGCUUCGGCACCUUACGAGAAAUCAAAGU